rnacentral:rRNA from 1 species
AAACUUUCACCAUGGAUCUCUUGGUUCUGGCAUCGAUGAAGAACGCAGCGAAAUGCGAUAAGUAGUGUGAAUGCAGAAUUCAGUGAAUCAUCGAAUCUUUGAACGCACAUUGCGCCCCUCGGUAUUCCUUGGGGCAUGCCUGUUCGAGCGUCAUUU